rnacentral:rRNA from 1 species
GACGAACGCUGGCGGCGUGCUUAACACAUGCAAGUCGAACGGAAAGGCCCUGCUUUUGUGGGGUGCUCGAGUGGCGAACGGGUGAGUAACACGUGAGUAACCUGCCCUUGACUUUGGGAUAACUUCAGGAAACUGGGGCUAAUACCGGAUAGGAGCUCCUGCUGCAUGGUGGGGGUGGGAAAGUUUCGGCGGUUGGGGAUGGACUCGCGGCUUAUCAGCUUGUUGGUGGGGUAUUGGCUUACCAAGGGUUUGACGGGUAGCCGGCCUGAGAGGGGGACCGGCCACAUUGGGACUGAGAUACGGCGCAGACUCCUACGGGAGGCAGCAGUGGGGAAUAUUGCACAAUGGGCGGAAGCCUGAUGCAGCAACGCCGCGUGCGGGAUGACGGCCUUCGGGUUGUAAACCGCUUUAGCCUGUGACGAAGCGUGAGUGACGGUAAUGGGUAAAGAAGCACCGGCUAACUACGUG